UGAGGAAUAUUGGUCAAUGGGCGAGAGCCUGAACCAGCCACGUCGCGUGAAGGAAGACUGACCUUACGGUUUGUAAACUUCUUUUGUAGAGGGGUAAUGGCAGAUACGUGUAUUUGCGUGAAAGUACUCUACGAAUAAGCAUCGGCUAACUCCGUGCCAGCAGCCGCGGUAAUACGGAGGAUACGAGCGUUAUCCGGAUUUAUUGGGUUUAAAGGGUGCGUAGGUGGCUGAUUAAGUCAGUGGUGAAAAGCUAUGGCUCAACCAUAGUCUUGCCGUUGAUACUGGUUAGCUUGAGUGUAGAUGAUGUAGGCGGAACGUGUAGUGUAGCGGUGAAAUGCAUAGAUAUUACGCAGAACUCCGAUUGCGAAGGCAGCUUACAAAACUACUACUGACACUGAGGCACGAAAGCGUGGGUAUCAAACAGG
rnacentral:rRNA from 1 species